rnacentral:rRNA from 1 species
GAAUAAGCAUCGGCUAACUCCGUGCCAGCAGCCGCGGUAAUACGGGGGAUGCAAGCGUUAUCCGGAUUUAUUGGGUUUAAAGGGUGCGCAGGCGGACAUAUAAGUCAGGGGUGAAAAGUCAUAGCUUAACUAUGAUCGUGCCUUUGAUACUGUAUGACUAGAGUUCAAAUGACGUAACUGGAAUGUGACAUGUAGCGGUGAAAUGCUUAGAUAUGUCACAGAACGCCGAUCGUGAAGACAGGUUACGAAUUUAUGACUGACGCUCAUGCACGAAAGCGUGGGGAUCAAACAGGAUUAGAUACCCUGGUAGUCCACGCUGUAAACGAUGAUCACUCGUUGUUGGGUAGUAAUAUUCAGUGGCUAAGCGAAAGCGAUAAGUGAUCCACCUGGGGAGUACGAUCGCAAGGUUGAAACUCAAAGGAAUUGACGGGGGCCCGCACAAGCGGAGGAGCAUGUGGUUUAAUUCGAUGAUACGCGAGGAACCUUACCCGGGCUUGAACGUAAUACGACUAUACUGGAGACAGUAUAUCCUUAGGGCGUAUUGCGAGGUGCUGCAUGGUUGUCGUCAGCUCGUGCCGUGAGGUGUUAGGUUAAGUCCUGCAACGAGCGCAACCCUUACACAUAGUUGCCAGCACGUCAUGGUGGGGACUCUAUGUGAACUGCCUACGCAAGUAGAGAGGAAGGUGGGGAUGACGUCAAAUCAGCACGGCCCUUAUGUCCGGGGCUACACACGUGCUACAAUGGCAUAUACAGAGGGCAGCUACCGGGUGACCGGAUGCGAAUCUUCAAAGUAUGCCUCAGUUCGGAUUGGAGUCUGUAACUCGACUCUAUGAAGUUGGAUUCGCUAGUAAUCGCGCAUCAGCCAUGGCGCGGUGAAUACGUUCCCGGGCCUUGUACACACCGCCCGUCAAGCCAUGGAAGCCUGUGGUACCUAAAGUCCGUGCCCGCAAGGAGCGGCCUAGGGUAAAACCGGUAACUGGGGCUAAGUCGUAACAAGGUA